CCGUUGGGGGGCUUGACCCUUUAGUGGCGAAGCUAACGCGAUAAGUAGACCGCCUGGGGAGUACGGUCGCAAGAUUAAAACUCAAAUGAAUUGACGGGGGCCCGCACAAGCGGUGGAGCAUGUGGUUUAAUUUGAUGCAACGCGAAAAACCUUACCAGGCCUUGACAUCCAGAGAACUUUCUAGAGAUAGAUUGGUGCCUUCGGGAACUCUGUGACAGGUGUUGCAUGGCUGUCGUCAGCUCGUGUCGUGAGAUGUUGGGUUAAGUCCCGUAACGAGCGCAACCCUUAUCCUUAUUUGCCAGCACUUCGGGUGGGAACUCUAAGGAGACUGCCGGUGACAAACCGGAGGAAGGAGAGGAUGAUGUCAAGUCAUCAUGGCCCUUACGGCCUGGGCUACACACGUGCUACAAUGGGCAGUACAGAGGGCCGCAAACCCGCGAGGGGGAGCAAAUCCCAAAAAACCGUUCGUAGUCCGGAUCGGAGUUUGCAACUCGACUCCGUGAAGUCGGAAUCGCUAGUAAUCGCGAAUCAGCAUGUCGCGGUGAAUACGUUCCCGGGCCUUGUACACACCGCCCGUCACAUCAUGGGAGUGGGUUGCACCAGAAGUAGCUAGUUUAACCUUCGGGAGAACGGUUACCACGGUGUGAUUCAUGACUGGGAUGAAGUCGUAACAAGGUAGCCGUAGGGGAACCUGCGGCUGGAUCACCUCCUU
rnacentral:rRNA from 1 species